rnacentral:lncRNA from 1 species
AUGACGUUCUUGUCCUCUCUCGCUGGUGUGCGUUGCCCUGAUCAUCGUUGCUUCACUCGUCUUCCUGCAGUCACAGACAAUGAGAAGCGGACACCGUUGCAUGCCGCUACCUAUCUAGGAGAUACAGAAAUUCUAGAGCUACUCAUACUAUCAGGUAAGGUUAUCAUUGAAGAGAAGGAUUACGCAACGAUUCAUGUCCAUCGGACUUUGACUUCUGUUUUGAUGCUUGUUGUGUUUGCAUGUGACCGUUUCCCUCAUACUUACCACCAUUAAGAUCUUAUGUGCAGCCGAUGUAUUUAAAAAUGUAAAAAAAACAUUCUAAUGAAGGCCAUUGACAGCUGAAACGUCCCGAUUUUAACUUGAUUAGUGAAGCAUCAAGAUUUUAAUUGUGAGCGAGAGUCGCACCUGUUACUCCAAUGUCCUCAUGAUUUUGGGUUGCACCUCAUCUCACGUUGGCUGAGCUCCUUCUACUCCUCUCCACUCACUGACAUAACAUUUUCAUCAAAGUGUUGCUGUGUAAUGAAAGUCCAAUUCCCAGAAUAGCUCAACAAGAGGCUUUGACUACGUUCUAAAUGGCUCCCUAUACAGUGCACUACUUUUGACCUGAGCCCUAUGGGUAGGCCUAUGGGUCCUGGUCAGAAGUAGUGCACUAUGAAGGUAUUAGGGUGAUGUUUUGGACACAUCCUUUCUGUGCUCCAGCUAUUUAAGAUGUUGCCUUAUCAACCCCAGAGUGUCUGUCCCCUGUCGGUCUGUCCCCUGCCUCUGUAUCCCAGGAGCCAGAGUAAAUGCCAAAGACAAGUGUCUCAAUACUCUGCACCGGGCCGUGGCUUCCUGCAGUGAGGUACGUGUACUGAUAGACACCUGUGCUUUACUGUUAAGUGUGUUGUGAUUUUUAAAUGCACUUUAAACAAAGUUGAACAUGAUUUGAACUGUGCUCCUGUAGGAGGCAGUCCAGGUGCUAUUGAAACGCUCCGAUGUGAACGCCAGGGACAAGAACUGGCAAACGCCGCUACACGUCGCUCCAGCCAAUAAGGCGGUCCACUGUGCCGAGGCCCUGGUCCCUCAGCAAUGUGAACAUGUCGGACCGGGCACACGGCGCUGCACC